GACUUCUGCUGUAAGACCUGGUGGAGACGUACAGGCUCUGGUACACGUUUUUAAAGUCAAUCUCCAAGUCUUGCAAGCAAAACUUGCGCACAUUUUUACUACCAGCUUGCAACGAUUCCUUCGACAGCACCAUCAGUGGAAUGAUUACAUCGUUAUGGUAUCGUCAUAUAACAGCUCUCCGCACAAAACAGUGUAUUACCAGCGUACUGCAAGGUUUAUGCUCGAGUCGAUUUCGCAUAGGCCGCUAGUUAGACGGUUACAGCGCGCGUACCAAGUAUCAGCCAUUGAGGAAGGUACCUUCCUCCAUGGCCAAUUCAAACCUACCGCGUCAGCUCAAACUGAAAGCCGCGCCAUAGUUUCGUGUGCCCGUGAUGGCAAUACAACAAAACCUUUCAAUAAAAUGUGUGCCGUUAUUACACAAUUCGUAAAAGCUUUAAUAAAACAUUUUGAACGAAGUUUCACAGGCUAGUAUAACAUGGUGCGGCACAACAGUUGGUGCGCUACUAUGGCUUGGCCGCUUCCAACGCUAGCUCCCGCGCCUGCCAUGCUGCCGUUGCCGUGCAUUGUCUCCGUUCGCGCUUGCAGUGUCGCGCAUGGCCGCGCGCCCGCACUUUGCAAAGGAUUCAACGGGUCGCUUUCGUGCGUACAUCGCAUUCUCUGUGUGUUCCUGCGUUGAUGGCUCAGCUUCGUUUUGGUGCUUUCAGACAUUCACGUACUAAUCACAGACAUGGGAAGACUAUAAGACGUCAAGAUGAAAGGCUCCUAGCAGCUCUCAGUGUUCCCAACGAAACUGGCAGAAUGGCAGUGGCUGAUUACAAGCUGCCUUUGGUGAACAAAAAAACCGUGACCACAUUAGAAUCCGAGCAGAGCUCCAAUCCUGCAUUCUGAUGACACCUUACACAACGGCUCUCUGUUAUGGGGGGCUGGUACUUAAGAAGCUUUACUGCGGGCAUCCUACCCACUAUUUUCAGACUGUUUUGGUGGAAACUUAAGCUAGACUCUAGGCCAGCGGCGGAAAAAGAGCUUCAGGGACGUGCAUGUCUACAGUGUCAUGGAAGAAGCUAUUCAUAGCAAUACCACGUGGGAAAAUGUGAUGACCGAUGCCAUUCGCCAAGCAGCAACUGCCUGGUUGAAGAAUUGCAGCUUGCGAGCGGAUAAAAAGCCAGCACGUUACGUUAAGCUUAGUGUUCAGGUAAUUUUAUAUAGAAAUUUAAGAUAUACUUACGUUUUUAACUGAGUCAGCAUCAUGUAGCAUGUUUACAUCUCAUUAAAAUCGACUGUUGGUUCUAGAUCAGAAGUGCAUGGUAUGGGAUUAACAUUUUGUCUUGGCGUUCUAAACUCUACUUAUAUCAGUCUGUUCUCAAUCGCCAGAUAACUUCCAACGACCAUCUAUGCAUGAUGUUGUGACAUCAUGCUUUACUGUGGCCAUAGGGAAACUUGUA
rnacentral:lncRNA from 1 species